rnacentral:rRNA from 1 species
CUAUGUGUUGUUGGGUAGGGGAGCGUUCUGUAAGCCUGUGAAGGUGUACUGUGAGGUAUGCUGGAGGUAUCAGAAGUGCGAAUGCUGACAUAAGUAACGAUAAAGCGGGUGAAAAGCCCGCUCGCCGGAAGACCAAGGGUUCCUGUCCAACGUUAAUCGGGGCAGGGUGAGUCGACCCCUAAGGCGAGGCCGAAAGGCGUAGUCGAUGGGAAACAGGUUAAUAUUCCUGUACUUGGUGUUACUGCGAAGGGGGGACGGAGAAGGCUAUGUUGGCCGGGCGACGGUUGUCCCGGUUUAAGCGUGUAGGCUGGUUUUCCAGGCAAAUCCGGAAAAUCAAGGCUGAGGCGUGAUGACGAGGCACUACGGUGCUGAAGCAACAAAUGCCCUGCUUCCAGGAAAAGCCUCUAAGCAUCAGGUAACAUCAAAUCGUACCCCAAACCGACACAGGUGGUCAGGUAGAGAAUACCAAGGCGCUUGAGAGAACUCGGGUGAAGGAACUAGGCAAAAUGGUGCCGUAACUUCGGGAGAAGGCACGC